CCUACGGGGGGCAGCAGUCGAGAGGCUUCGGCAAUGGGGGAAACCCUGACCGAGCGACGCCGCGUGGGGGAUGAAGGCCCUUGGGUUGUAAACCCCUUUUGUUCGGGAAGAAGUGCGAUCAGGUGAACAAUCUGGUCGUUUGACGGUACCGGACGAAUAAGCUCCGGCUAACUCCGUGCCAGCAGCCGCGGUAAUACGGGGGGAGCAAGCGUUGUUCGGAAUCACUGGGCGUAAAGGGCGUGUAGGCGGUCAGGUAAGUAAGACGUGAAAUGCCUCGGCU
rnacentral:rRNA from 1 species